rnacentral:rRNA from 1 species
AGAGUUUGAUCAUGGCUCAGAACGAACGCUGGCGGCAGGCCUAACACAUGCAAGUCGAACGAGAAGCCACCUUCGGGUGGUGGACAGUGGCAGACGGGUGAGUAACGCGUGGGAACGUGCCUUUCGGUUCGGGAUAACCCAGGGAAACUUGGGCUAAUACCGGAUACGCCCUUCGGGGGAAUGAUUCAUUGCCGAAAGAUCGGCCCGCGUCGGAUUAGCUAGUUGGUGGGGUAAUGGCCUACCAAGGCGACGAUCCGUAGCUGGUCUGAGAGGAUGACCAGCCACACUGGGACUGAGACACGGCCCAGACUCCUACGGGAGGCAGCAGUGGGGAAUAUUGGACAAUGGGCGCAAGCCUGAUCCAGCCAUGCCGCGUGGGUGAAGAAGGCCUUAGGGUUGUAAACCCCUUUCAGCGGGGAAGAUAUGCGGACCCGAGAAAAGUCCGGUAACUCGUGCCAGCAGCCGCGGUA